rnacentral:rRNA from 1 species
UACAGAGGGUGCGAGCGUUAAUCGGAAUUACUGGGCGUAAAGGGCGCGUAGGUGGACAAUUAAGUCGGAUGUGAAAUCCCCGGGCUUAACCUGGGAAUGGCAUACGAUACUGGUUGUCUGGAGUUGAGUAGAGGGAAGUGGAAUUUCCGGUGUAGCGGUGAAAUGCGUAGAUAUCGGAAGGAACACCAGUGGCGAAGGCGGCUUCCUGGACUUAAACUGACACUGAGGCGCGAAAGCGUGGGGAGCAAACAGG